rnacentral:rRNA from 1 species
CAAAAACAUCGCCUCUUGCUAAACUAUAAGAGGUCCUGCCUGCCCUGUGAUUUAUUUAACGGCCGCGGUACCCUAACCGUGCAAAGGUAGCAUAAUCAAUUGUCCCUUAAAUUUGGACUAGUAUGAACGGCACCACGAGGGUUUAACUGUCUCCCUCCUUCAAUCAAUGAAAUUAAUCUUCCUGUGAAAAAGCAGGAAUAAAAUUAUAAGACGAAAAGACCCUAUGGAGCUUUAAACUUAUUACCACUUAUUUAGUUACAUAACAAUUUAAAUAAUAAGACUGUUCUUUAAUAGUUUUCGGUUGGGGCGACCCUGGAGAAAAAUAAAUCCUCCAGAUUGAAAAAUAACCCUUAUAUAAGAACCACAAUUCAAAUAAACAAAAAUUUGACAAAACUGACCCAGAAUAACUGAUCAGUGAACCAAGUUACCCUAGGGAUAACAGCGCUAUCCAUUUUGAGAGUCCGUAUUGACAAAUGGGUUUACGACCUCGAUGUUGGAUCGGGGUAUCCCAGCAGCGCAGCAGUUGCUAAUGGUUCGUUUGUUCAACGACUAACACCCCACGUGAUCUG